UAGUUUUACAAUAUUCCGGGAUUUAUAAAAAUAUUUCGGUAAUUUUUGGAUGAAAUUUUACAGCAUGUUAUCUCCGUAAAUUAAUUAAAAACAGAGUAAGCUUAUAAUUUAGAUAAUAGUUUCAUUUUAUGCCACGUAUCCGUGUUGUUUCCCUUGUGUUAGCCACGUAUAGUUUCUUUUGCCCCUUUCUGUUAAUCUCUCAACCUCACCGCCCUCUAAUUCUUUCACUCACAAUUCUCUCCUGCCUACAACUCUUGCACGGGCAUCCACCUCCGUUGUUGCGUGCGCCGCUGCCAGGUUCCUCCGGAAUCAACUACCUCGCUGGAAUCACUUGUUGCCGCUGCCAAGCUUUCACCAUCGCUGCUCCAUUUCUUCUCAUGCUCGAAGCCAGUCGCGCUCCUUCAAUUCUUCAGCCAAUUAACUCUGUUUUCGGGCCAGCAAUCCACCCUUUCUUUGAUUAUUCUGAUUGGUUAACUCCGUCGGCAUCGACAACUGAAGUACCGUGUCACUCUUGGAGAAUCAACCGAGACUUGUCUAUCAAGGACAUAUCAAGGACAUUCAGAAGUUUUUAAAUAGCUUUGCGAAUUGAAUGAGGAAUAGUUCCUUAAAACGAAGCUGUGCUGUGAGAUAGUUUGGUAGAAUUAAAUCGGUAUGAAAAUCAGCAGAACUGAGAUAGUGUUAAAGAUGAUUCAUCUGUCUAGGCUGAGCGUAAGAGUAAUGCUAGGCAAGGAUUCCAAGUGAUAAGUUGUGACUGAAUGAUCAGGUAAAGUAUUCAGGAAGAUGUCUGCGAGAUUAGUGGUAAUUAGAGUUGGCUUAAUUUUGCUUCAAAUGUAAAAUAAAUUUAUUAAAUAUUAUCAGCUACUCUGAUAAUUUAGAUUGGGAUGUAAUAAGAUUUAUUAGUUUUGAUUCUGAUUUCAAUACUAUAGCCUGUUUGCGAUCCUGUUUAAAGGGGGUUAAACUUUGUUCUUUUAAAUCUUUUAUUAAAGCUUUCAGGUUUUAAAUUCUUUGAUUUAUAUUAGCUUUUCAAAAAUACAGGUUUUCAAAACUGUAAAUCAUUUUUUUUAUAUCCAGGUUUUGAAAUACUUGUUUUUACUUUCUCUCAAAGAUACAAGUUUUAAAUUGUUUUACUUUUAGUGGCUUAAAAAUACAGGUUUUAAAUUAUUUUUAUUUACACGUGGCACCAAAUCCAGACCCCCGGAUUUGAGGGCUGUCACAGUUGGUAUCAGAGCUGCAGGUUAUAAGUUAUUGAAAUCAGAAUAUAGGUGGUAAUAUCAGGUUUAAUAAAAAGGUGCGUUAAGUGUAACCUCACAUAGAGGUAGUCUACAGCUAUUUGGAAUAGUCUGUGUCAAUAAAACCAAGAUUCACAUAUAGUAUUGACCUUGAGUAUAUCAUAGUGUGUAUAAUAGGUUUCUUGUUCCAGACCUAGCAAGUUUAUAUCUCAAGGAAGAAAGAACAGGCCUCCACCAGUUUUUAUUAUAUUGAGUAUUUAGUACUAAUACUAGCAACCAAAUAGAUUCCCUUGUUGAGUCUAGAACGUCCCUAAUAAUUUCAUAUUCCUCGUCACCAAGAUAGAGAUAAAUUGGAAGAGUAACUUUAUGUGUUUUUAUUAUGGAUCAAAAUUUCUUAACACCAGUUUAAUUGAGUUAGAAACUCAUAGUAGGUAGAUAAGAUUUCUUUUGGUUGAUUUAGAUUCAAAACCAUUUGAAGGAUGAAAGAUACACUUAUUAGGUGAACUUUAUAAUGGGAACCAAUUGAGGCUGGACUAGUAUAGAUUCUCACAUAGUCUAGAGUAAUCCUUGUAGUGUCUGCCAAUCUUUGAAUAGUAAUUGGGGAGUUAUCUUUGAUUCUUGUUAAAGAUAUAUAGAAUUGGUGAAAGAAUAUAGGUGUUAACAGGUCCGAAUUUAAAGCUUUGUAUAUAGUGAAGUAGUGAGCAUUAGAGCUAAUAAAAGAAUAUGAAACUUGUAGGGUCAAGUAAGAAGUUCCGUAUAUAGUUAAAUAAUGAACGUUAAAGUUAUUUAGAGCUCGUGUAGAUUAGUGGAUAUAGUACUUGUGAGUAAGUUAAGACGUCAACACUCAGUGGUGAUGAUUAUACGAAACUCGAUAAUAUUUCGGACUAUGCGAAGCUGAGCAGGACUUCUGACGAUCAUGGAUAUUUAUAAUGAGAUCUUCACAGACCAUUGUGAGUCAACGAUAAUUUACGUUAUUGAGCAUCAUCGACCGCUGAAAAAUAGAAGAAGAUUAGAAUCGAAUAAAGGUCCAUCAGAGCAGCAUAUCUUGAAAAAUCUUGGCAAUACCUUCCUCUUUUAUUGAUUAUAUUGAUUACUUUCUUCAUCAAUGAAUUGUUUUGACAUCUUUUUCCUAGAGACAUUUAAUAAAUACUAUAUUUCUCUCUCCUGAGUUAUAAAAUGAUGCUUGUAUCUAUUUCAUCAUUUCUAACUAAUCUUUUCAUCAAAACUAGCACCUUUGGAACUUAUUCAAUUUUUUAACCCAAGGUGCGCAUCAAAGAUUCAUUCAUCAGAAAGUCAAUCAUUUUUGGUUGAUUUUGAAUUUCCAUCAUAUUAUUCAACUCUAACUGAGAUGAACAACCCUACCUAUAGGGGACACAAGGAUUACCGGUCUGUGUGAUAGGAGUUGGAUGGGACGCCAUCACUUGUGUGUGUUGUACAUUACAAGAAGGUUAACUACCUUUAGUAGUGUCUUAAUUUAGACACGCAACACCGAGUUCUUUAGAUCAUAUUGAUCUCUCAGUUAUUCUUUUGUUUCCAAUCACAUAAUAUUUGUUCCAAUAGAUCUAAUCUUUCAUAUUCUUGUAAUUUCUAAAAGGUAUGCCAACUGAGUUGCCAAGUAAAAUUAAGCCUUUGUAGUACGAAGCAACAUAAGUAAAAAGGAUGAUGAUGCGGGUAUACGGAAGCGAUCAAGUAAAAUUUUAUAUCACAAAGAAAGGAGUAUUAUGAAUUAAAGAGAUCAUACGCUCUAGUUUUCUUUUCGCUGAUUCCGAGGACGGAAUCCGUUUAAGGGGGGUAGAUUGUGACGACCUGGAUUUUCAGAAAUUGUUUUAUUAUUUUCAUUCAAAAUUUUCGAGAAAAAAAUGAGAAACAAAAUUUAAUAUUUUAUUCUAGCUUGAUAAUUUCCAAAAAUAUUUGUUUAAAGUAUUUCCUUGUCAUUUGGGCAUGAGAAAAUAUCAAUUGAUUGUGCAAUUAUUUGUUACGAGAUUUAAUUGAUUUAUUUGUGUACGAUUAUAUCUGUGUGUCCAUUUUUCUGCUUUUGAUAUUAUUAUAUUAUUUUAUUAAAAUUUCUUAUCCUCUUAAAUGGAUAUUUAUUUUUGUAGAAAUACAAAUAUAAUUUGAAAAUUUAUAUUAAUUGCUCAAUAGUGAUCAUAAAUAUUUUUAGGAACUUUUAAAAUAUUAAAAAUCUUAUUUCUAUAACGAUAUGAUUUUUAAUUAGUUCCUGAACGUAGCUAACUUCUAAAUUUCUUAUAAAUUUUGAAAGUACUCGACAAAUCCCGAAACUUUUAUUUUAUUAGUUUUACAAUAUUCCGGGAUUUAUAAAAAUAUUUCGGUAAUUUUUGGAUGAAAUUUUACAGCAUGUUAUCUCCGUAAAUUAAUUAAAAACAGAGUAAGCUUAUAAUUUAGAUAAUAGUUUCAUUUUAUGCCACGUAUCCGUGUUGUUUCCCUUGUGUUAGCCACGUAUAGUUUCUUUUGCCCCUUUCUGUUAAUCUCUCAACCUCACCGCCCUCUAAUUCUUUCACUCACAAUUCUCUCCUGCCUACAACUCUUGCACGGGCAUCCACCUCCGUUGUUGCGUGCGCCGCUGCCAGGUUCCUCCGGAAUCAACUACCUCGCUGGAAUCACUUGUUGCCGCUGCCAAGCUUUCACCAUCGCUGCUCCAUUUCUUCUCAUGCUCGAAGCCAGUCGCGCUCCUUCAAUUCUUCAGCCAAUUAACUCUGUUUUCGGGCCAGCAAUCCACCCUUUCUUUGAUUAUUCUGAUUGGUUAACUCCGUCGGCAUCGACAACUGAAGUACCGUGUCACUCUUGGAGAAUCAACCGAGACUUGUCUAUCAAGGACAUAUCAAGGACAUUCAGAAGUUUUUAAAUAGCUUUGCGAAUUGAAUGAGGAAUAGUUCCUUAAAACGAAGCUGUGCUGUGAGAUAGUUUGGUAGAAUUAAAUCGGUAUGAAAAUCAGCAGAACUGAGAUAGUGUUAAAGAUGAUUCAUCUGUCUAGGCUGAGCGUAAGAGUAAUGCUAGGCAAGGAUUCCAAGUGAUAAGUUGUGACUGAAUGAUCAGGUAAAGUAUUCAGGAAGAUGUCUGCGAGAUUAGUGGUAAUUAGAGUUGGCUUAAUUUUGCUUCAAAUGUAAAAUAAAUUUAUUAAAUAUUAUCAGCUACUCUGAUAAUUUAGAUUGGGAUGUAAUAAGAUUUAUUAGUUUUGAUUCUGAUUUCAAUACUAUAGCCUGUUUGCGAUCCUGUUUAAAGGGGGUUAAACUUUGUUCUUUUAAAUCUUUUAUUAAAGCUUUCAGGUUUUAAA